rnacentral:rRNA from 1 species
CCCCGUAAGGGGAACUUGGACACAGGUGCUGCAUGGCUGUCGUCAGCUCGUGCCGUGAGGUGUUGGGUUAAGUCCCGCAACGAGCGCAACCCUCACCCUUAGUUGCCAUCAUUAAGUUGGGCACCCUAAGGGAACUGCCGCAGUUAAUGCGGAGGAAGGUGGGGAUGACGUCAAGUCCUCAUGGCCCUUAUAUCCAGGGCUACACACGUGCUACAAUGGACGGUACAAAGGGUCGCGAACCUGCAAAGGGGAGCUAACCCCAGAAAACCGCUCUCAGUUCGGAUUGGAGUCUGCAACCCGACUCCAUGAAGUUGGAAUCGCUAGUAAUCGCGGAUCAGAACGCCGCGGUCGAAUACGUUCCCGGGCCUU